CUCAUAGCGUAUAUUAAAGUUGUUGCAGUUAAAACGCUCGUAGUCGGAUUUCGGGGCGGGCUGCUCGGUCUGCCGAUGGGUAUGCACUGGGUGGCGCGUCCUUCCUUCCGGAGACCGCGCCUUCUCUUAACUGAGCGGGCGCGGGAGACGGAACGUUUACUUUGAAAAAAUCAGAGUGUUUCAAGCAGGCAUCUCGCUCUUGCAUGGAUUAGCAUGGGAUAAUGAAAUAGGACUUUGGUGCUAUUUUGUUGGUUUCGAACACCGAAGUAAUGAUUAACAGGGACAGUCAGGGGCACUCGUAUUCCGUCGAGAGAGGUGAAAUUCUCAGACCAACGGAAGACGAACCACUGCGAAAGCAUUUGCCAGGGAUGUUUUCACUGAUCAAGAACGAAAGUUAGGGGAUCGAAGACGAUCAGAUACCGUCGUAGUCUUAACCAUAAACCAUGCCGACUAGGGAUUCGAGGGUGUUCCAUCUGUGACCCCUUGAGCACCUUUCGGGAAACUAAAGUCUUUGGGUUCCGGGGGGAGUAUGGUCGCAAGGCUGAAACUUAAAGGAAUUGACGGAAGGGCACCACCAGGAGUGGAGCCUGCGGCUUAAUUUGACUCAACACGGGGAAACUUACCAAGUCCAGACAUUGUGAGGAUUGACAGAUUGAGAGCUCUUUCUUGAUUCAAUGGGUGGUGGUGCAUGGCCGUUCUUAGUUGGUGGAGUGAUUUGUCUG
rnacentral:rRNA from 1 species